rnacentral:rRNA from 1 species
GACGAACGCUGGCGGCGUGCCUAAUACAUGCAAGUCGAACGCACAGUUUAUACCGUAGCUUGCUACACCAUAGACUGUGAGUUGCGAACGGGUGAGUAACGCGUAGGUAACCUGCCUGGUAGCGGGGGAUAACUAUUGGAAACGAUAGCUAAUACCGCAUAAUAUUAAUUAUUGCAUGAUAAUUAAUUGAAAGGUGCAAUUGCACCACUACCAGAUGGACCUGCGUUGUAUUAGCUAGUAGGUGAGGUAACGGCUCACCUAGGCGACGAUACAUAGCCGACCUGAGAGGGUGAUCGGCCACACUGGGACUGAGACACGGCCCAGACUCCUACGGGAGGCAGCAGUAGGGAAUCUUCGGCAAUGGACGAAAGUCUGACCGAGCAACGCCGCGUGAGGGAAGAAGGGUUUCGGAUCGUAAAGCUCUGUUGUAAGAGAAGAACGGGUGUGAGAGUGGAAAGUUCACACUGUGACGGUAUCUUACCAGAAAGGGACGGCUAACUACGUG